rnacentral:rRNA from 1 species
CCUACGGGUGGCAGCAGUGGGGAAUAUUGGACAAUGGGGGGAACCCUGAUCCAGCCAUGCCGCGUGUGUGAAGAAGGCCCUCGGGUUGUAAAGCACUUUCAGUGAGGAAGAACGCCUGGUGGUUAAUACCCAUCAGGAAAGACAUCACUCACAGAAGAAGCACCGGCUAACUCCGUGCCAGCAGCCGCGGUAAUACGGAGGGUGCGAGCGUUAAUCGGAAUUACUGGGCGUAAAGCGCGCGUAGGUGGCUUGAUAAGCCGGUUGUGAAAGCCCCGGGCUCAACCUGGGAACGGCAUCCGGAACUGUCAAGCUAGAGUGCAGGAGAGGAAGGUAGAAUUCCCGGUGUAGCGGUGAAAUGCGUAGAGAUCGGGAGGAAUACCAGUGGCGAAGGUGGCCUUCUGGACUGACACUGACACUGAGGUGCGAAAGCGUGGGUAGCAAACAGGAUUAGAUACCCCUGUAGUC